rnacentral:rRNA from 1 species
UACGUAGGGGGCAAGCGUUGUCCGGAAUCAUUGGGCGUAAAGAGCGUGUAGGCGGCUCGGUAAGUCCGCUGUGAAAGUCCAGGGCUCAACCCUGGAAUGCCGGUGGAAACUGUCGAGCUAGAGUCCGGAAGAGGCGAGUGGAAUUCCUGGUGUAGCGGUGAAAUGCGCAGAUAUCAGGAGGAACACCAAUGGCGAAGGCAGCUCGCUGGGCCACUACUGACGCUGAGAAGCGAAAGCAUGGGGAGCGAACAGG